rnacentral:lncRNA from 1 species
AAGGGUCGGCUCCAAUCAACUUGUCAGACAGGUUGCACCAAGUUCUUCGAUGGGCUCUUGGAUCGGUGGAGAUUUUCUUGAGUAGGCAUUGCCCUUUGUGGUAUGGAUUUGGAGGCGGACGCCUCAAAUGGCUCCAAAGACUUGCCUAUACCAACACCAUUGUCUAUCCUUUCACUUCUCUUCCCCUCAUUGCUUACUGUACUAUUCCUGCAGUUCAAAGACUUGCCUACACCAACACCAUUGUCUAUCCUUUCACUUCUCUUCCCCUCAUUGCUUACUGUACUAUUCCUGCUGUUUGCCUUCUUACAGGAAAAUUCAUCAUCCCUACGGUAAAUGGUUCCACUUCUCUGAGCCUUGUUUCCAACUUUAUAACUAAGAAGUGCACACUGAAAAUGAGUGCAUAUUAUUUGGAGCUGGUAUUGAGGCUGCUUUUUCUUUAGUUUCUUUUACUGAAUCAUAUUCUUGUGCCUUGUAUGCAGCUAU